rnacentral:lncRNA from 1 species
CAAGAGCAAGACUCUAGCCAAAACACACCUCCCAAAAUUUAUAGUAGGAAAAAGAAAAGAGGGGAACCGACAGACUUGAGAACAGAAAUAAAAAAAACAAACUCAAUUUACAAAAGAGAGAGGAAGCAGUAGAAGCAAUUUCAACCAAAAGAGGAUAGCUGGCUGAAUGUUAAGAGGACAAAAGCCAAGCAGAAUUCUUUUUAGAAAGUGUUCAAUUUCAGCACACUACUCCUCUUCCCUUGAUCCCUUCCUUGAAGAUAUCCUUACAUCACUCCCCCUACUAAUUUG